rnacentral:rRNA from 1 species
AACGAACGCUGGCGGCAGGCUUAACACAUGCAAGUCGAGCGCCCCGCAAGGGGAGCGGCAGACGGGUGAGUAACGCGUGGGAAUCUACCCAUCUCUACGGAAUAACGCAUGGAAACGUGUGCUAAUACCGUAUACGUCCUUCGGGAGAAAGAUUUAUCGGAGAUGGAUGAGCCCGCGUUGGAUUAGCCAGUUGGUGGGGUAAAGGCCUACCAAGGCGACGAUCCAUAGCUGGUCUGAGAGGAUGAUCUGCCACACUGGGACUGAGACACGGCCCAGACUCCUACGGGAGGCAGCAGUGGGGAAUAUUGGACAAUGGGCGCAAGCCUGAUCCAGCCAUGCCGCGUGAGUGAUGAAGGCCCUAGGGUUGUAAAGCUCUUUCACCGGUGAAGAUAAUGACGGUAACCGGAGAAGAAGCCCCGGCUAACUUCGUGCCAGCAGCCGCCGUAAGAC